ACUUUUAAAAUCGGUUAUUUAUGAACCGAUUUUGUAUACUAUAUACAAAAUCGGUUCUAAGAUAACCGAUUUUAAAAGU
rnacentral:miRNA from 1 species